rnacentral:rRNA from 1 species
CAAUAGCGUAUAUUUAAGUUGUUGCAGUUAAAAAGCUCGUAGUUGGAUUUCGGUUAAGAGCGACCGGUCCGCCGUUUGGUGUGCACUGGUUGGUUUUAACUUCCUGUAGAGGACGUGCUCUGGGUUUAACGACCUGGACUCGGAGUCUACGUGGUUACUUUGAAAAAAUUAGAGUGUUCAAAGCGGGCUUACGCUUGAAUAUUUCAGCAUGGAAUAACACUAUAGGACUCCUGUCCUAUUUCGUUGGUCUCGGGACGGGAGUAAUGAUUAAGAGGAACAGUUGGGGGCAUUCGUAUUUCAUUGUCAGAGGUGAAAUUCUUGGAUUUAUGAAAGACGAACUUCUGCGAAAGCAUUUGCCAAGGAUGUUCUCAUUAA